UGACAUUGUGUGCAAUAGAAUUGAGAGAGCAAUAGAAAAUGAUGAGAAGGUUGAGGUUCUGUUGUGAAGGUGUAGACAUAAUAAGUCUUGUGCCAGAGACAAAGGGGAAAAUAAAAACAGAACCAUGGAGCAAAACCAAUGAUGCAACUGUGAUUCCUCCAAAGAGGAAGUGUGUCAAGAAUACUGUGUGUAAUUGUUUUGUUCAAUGCAUCUGUCCCAAGUGCUUCAACACCAACAACACUCUUUCGCCUCCUAGACCAAUAAUUACCGCGGGCAACUAUAGAAAUAAAACAAAGAGUGUGAAAUAAUAGCCCAAUAGUUUGCGGAUUGCUGUGAAGAUGAGUAAUCGAGAUCGGUUAUACGCUUGCUUGAUGCUUUGAAUAAGGAACAGAACAAAAUGAAAAUGAGUGAUUGAUAUUUGAUAACAAUAUUAUAUAGUAACUUUGUACCGUAACUUGAUUACUUGAAAUUUAUUUGUAUCAUCCCUUUAUCCAAAUACAUUACAGAUUUUAUUGUAAAUUUUAUUCAUCUUUUAU